rnacentral:rRNA from 1 species
GUCUAGAAAUUUGGGCAAUGGGCGAAAGCCUGACCCAGCGACACCGCGUGAAGGAUGAAGUCUUUCGGGAUGUAAACUUCUGUCAGGGGGAACGAUGCCCGCCGUAAGGCGGGUGACGGUACUCCCAGAGGAAGCACCGGCUAACUACGUGCCAGCAGCCGCGGUAAUACGUAGGGUGCAAGCGUUGUCCGGAUUCACUGGGCGUAAAGGGUGUGUAGGCGGACUGGAAAGUCUGCAGUGAAAGCCUACGGCUUAACCGUAGAACGGCUGUGGAUACUUCCGGCCUUGGGGAUAGGAAAGGAGGAUGGAACUUUCGGUGUAGCGGUAGAAUGCGUAGAUAUCGAAAGGAACACCAAUGGCGAAGGCAGUCCUCUGGAAUAUUCCCGACGCUGAAACACGAAAGCUGGGGGAGCAAACAGGAUUAGAAACCCCAGUAGUCC